UGAGUGUGGAGUGAGACAGAGCUGAAAUGGU
rnacentral:piRNA from 1 species